rnacentral:rRNA from 1 species
GUCCAGACUCCUACGGGAGGCAGCAGUGGGGGAUAUUGCACAAUGGGGGGAACCCUGAUGCAGCGACGCCGCGUGGGUGAAGGAGAAUUUCGGUAUGUAAAGCCCUAUCGGCAGGGAAGAAGCAAGACGGUACCUGACUAAGAAGCCCCGGCUAACUACGUGCCAGCAGCCGCGGUAAUACGUAGGGGGCGAGCGUUAUCCGGAUUCACUGGGUGUAAAGGGAGCGUAGACGGCCAAGCAAGCCAGGGGUGAAAGCCCGGGGCCCAACCCCGGGACUGCCCUUGGAACUGCUUGGCUGGAGUGCGGGAGGGGCAGGCGGAAUUCCUGGUGUAGCGGUGAAAUGCGUAGAUAUCAGGAGGAACACCGGUGGCGAAGGCGGCUUACUGGACCAUAACUGACGUUGAGGCUCGAAAGCGUGGGGAGCGAACGGGAUUAGAUACCCGGGUA